rnacentral:rRNA from 1 species
AUUGAACGCUGGCGGCAUGCCUAACACAUUCAAGUCGAGCGGAGCGGCGGACGGGUGAGUAAUGCCUAGGAAUCUGCCUGGUAGUGGGGGAUAACGUCCGGAAACGGGCGCUAAUACCGCAUACUUUCAGUUGAGCCUAGGUCGGAUUAGCUAGUUGGUGGGGUAAAGGCCUACCAAGGCGACGAUCCGUAACUGGUCUGAGAGGAUGAUCAGUAACACUGGAACUGAGAAACGGACCAGACUCCUACGGGAGGCAGCAGUGGGGAAGAUUGGAAAAGGGGCGAAAGCCUGAUGGAGCCAUGCCGCGUGUGUGAAGAAGGUCUUCGGAUGGUAAAGCACUUUAAGUUGGGAGGCGUUACCAACAGAAUAAGCACCGGCUAACUACGUGCCAGCAGCCGCGGUAAUAC